AUGGCUCCUUCUUGUCCAUGCCCAGGGCUGCAGGCGGAGGUGAGGCUGGAGGAGACCGGAGGCGGCCUCCAAAGCCCUGGGGCCUCCAUGAGGCUCCUGUGCAAGGCCUCGGGCUUCACCAUCGACGACUAUGGCAUGGGAUGGAUGCGCCAAGCACCGGGACAGGGCCUCGAAUACGUCGCCAGAAUUGACAGCGAUGGUUACACCAGCUACGCGCCAUCGGUGAAGGGCAGAGCCACCAUCAGCAGGGACAACUCCCAGGCCACGGUCACGCUGCAGAUGAGCGGCCUCGAGGCCAAGGAUACGGCCACUUACUACUGUGUGAAGAGUGCUGGUGGUGAUGGUACUGGUGCUGGUGCUUAUCCUGGUGGUAAUGGUGCUGCUCCUGGUGCUGGUUAUGUUGGCAUACCCAUAACCAAGUCCAUACGUUCCAUAGACACCACAUCUACCAUAACCACUGUAACCGGCACUAUACCCACCAUUACAUACACCAUAGCCACCAUAAUGCCAUAA